rnacentral:rRNA from 1 species
UACGGGGGGGGGCAAGCGUUGUUCGGAAUUACUGGGCGUAAAGGGCUAGUAGGCGGCCAACUAAGUCAGACGUGAAAUCCCUCGGCUUAACCGGGGAACUGCGUCUGAUACUGGAUGGCUUGAGUUUGGGAGAGGGAUGCGGAAUUCCAGGUGUAGCGGUGAAAUGCGUAGAUAUCUGGAGGAACACCGGUGGCGAAGGCGGCAUCCUGGACCAACACUGACGCUGAGCAGCGAAAGCCAGGGGAGCAAACGGG